GGGUUCUCAUGACCGAUGCCUGUUCCAUCUACACAGAAGGAACAAACCAGGAUUCUCUGCGGAUGUUUAGCACGGAUGUGUAGGUCACAGAACUCUGAUAUUAUGGCAAGAGCAGAGCAGUAGUAAUAAUUCUUCUGAAGAAAGUUGCCAACGAACUGUUGAACAUUUUAUCCAGGCCGAUCCCCUCAGGGCCGCCCCCGCCGCCUUCCAUGCCGGGCGGCGAGGGGAGGAGGGGGGCACGGGCGAGGCGGCGGAGGGCGGGUGGAGGAGGCGAGGCGGGAGGGCGGAGGGCAGGGCGGCCGGGGCCCUCCCUCUCCUCCUUCCCUCCCUCCGCUCGGCCCCCUCAGUCGCCUCCGAGGCGCUCCGAGCGGCCGCCGCCUCGGGCUGAAGGCCCGGGCUCCGCCAGCGGACGCGGCUCCCGCUCGGACUCCGGCUCAGCGCUCCCCUCCGCCGCCGCCGCAGCGCUACGUGGCCGCCCGCAGCCAGUCUCGCGACUCCGCCGCGCGCACGCGCGGGCACGCGCCGAGGAGGUGGUUGCCGCGGGCGCGCGCGGGGGGGAGACACCCAUAGGCUGAGGGGAGGGCGAGCGGCACGAGGCGCGCAGCGGCGCAUGCGCGGUUGCUUCCCCCCCCCUUCCCUCUCUAUUCAGCUUAGGCGGUGGAGGGGACGCGGAGCGCAGGUGAGCGCACGGUGGGGGGGAGCUGUGCGCAUGCGCAGCGCCCGGCGGGGUUCAGGUGAGGCGCGCGCGCGACGGAAGGAGGCGCCGAGCGGCGGCUGCCCCCGGCCGGGCCGACCGUUACUCCGCUGAGGUAAUGAAGGAGGCCGCCCUAAUUGCAGUCAGCUGAGCUGGGCAAGCUGCGGCUUCGCUCCGGCCCACGCCUCCUUCCCGCGGGCACCUCCGUGGCUCUGCUGAAGGCGGAAGGAGGGAUGGAGGUAACGCUUCGCCGAGCCGCUGAAAGGGGCCGUGCGGAUCUCCUGGGGCCUCCCCUCAGGAGCCAGGGCCUGUGUGAUCUGAGAGGGAGUGAUGCGACAAGACAUGGAUUUCACUGAUAGAACUCGCAGCUUGGGGCAGAGAGAAAAACUGAAGGAGAACUCUUACCAAGGAUACAUCAUCCAGAAUGAGGCCAAAAGUUGCUGCUCUCUCUGUGAGGUCUUCACUCACUUGCCUGGAGACCAGUUCUCUUUGAGUGAUCAACUCUCCAGCAUCAAAGCGAGCCUGAGCGAGAAGAAAGCUCUCAGAAUCUCUGCUUGUCACCCAACUCCAUGAAAGUAAAGCCAAGUAGUUAGAAUGACAGGGAAGCAAUUAGCAUGGCUACAGUUUUAACUCUUCUGGAUUGCCUGUUAGAGCCAAGGAGUAGAAAGAGAAGCCUCAUUUUGGAGCUUUACAUUUUCCACAAUUCAGCAGGUCCCAUCAGUGCUAAAACAAAAGAGAGGUGAGGGGUGGAGCCCAGCAGCAUUCAUGCUAUUCUUACCACAACAGACUUGAGGAUUUCAGUUGUGAUGGAGGGCAGGACGCGCUCAUCGUAGUCCUCUCCAAUACUUGUGAAAAUCCGGGGUAACUGCGCAGUCACCGGUCUGAACAGGAUACGCAGUGUGAUGUUCACAUUCUGUAGAUCUGCAGAAAUAGUCACAAAUUUAGCAGCAGACCUCAUGGGCAGGAGAUAUCUUGAUGUUGUCCUCUCCAGAGGAAAGCAAAAUAAGACAAAAUAAACAUUCAGACUUCUGAGAAAGGAAAGGUUUUUAGUAUUUCUUUCACCAAGGACUGCUUUUCACCUAGGGAUCCAAAUGCUCCUUACAGAUUAAAUUUAAGCUUCAGUUUGUCUGUAAUGCAGGGAAUUACUGACCCUACUGCAAACAAAGAAAUUUCUUAUUUAAGGGACAAAUAUCAAACUAUUCCUGACUGCUAAACUCUGCACACAUUGAAUCUCCACGUUCAGAAAAGAAAGCCCUCAUGCCUAUAGUACUUUUCAGCAGGUUAACGAUCAUAAAAGUCUUGAUUGUGGGAAAGCUUCUUCUCAUGCCUCUGUUCACCCAGCUGCAAAGCAGCAAAAGAGUGAGACACACACACAGCACAUCAGACUGCCCAGAUCUUGUAGAGCUGCCCAGUCCAAAACUCACCUUUGCUGCCAGUGAUGACAGGUAUGUUACGUGGGCGAGAACGGCAGUCAAAAAUGAUUGGUUUCUGUACCCAGGGGAUGAGGAAGUGAGUGCCUUCUCCUACCACUGUGUCCUGGACCCCACGGAAUCGAUCAAAGAUAACAGCUCUGUGUCCUGCAUCAACAUUGUAUAGAGCAGAAUUGACAACUCCACCUGCAACAGCCAGCCCCAGGCCGAACUUCCCAAUGCUUUCAAACACUUUGGCAGCCAUUUCACACGUGCAGUUCUAGCCCCUUUAAGAAGUACCUCCUCCACAUGAAUCCACGGCCGCCCACCC
rnacentral:lncRNA from 1 species